CGAAAAGCUUGGAGGCUAGUUUCCUCUAUCAUAAAUUGAGUUUUCCAAGUGGCUCUACAAGUAUUGAUGCGAACAGACCAGAUAUGGCCUGUCUUCUCAAACAAGUACAUGGAGGAAAUCAUUGAGAACACCCUCUCUCUUCUCGCUCUGCAUUCUGAACAGGCCAUGAGCAGUCCCGGCUCUGAGAAAUCCCUGGAGCCCAUACACUCAAUCUCUCUGCUGGAUAUCAAUGCCACCUUGUUUAAGAAAUGGAGGCCCAAAUUAAAUUCCCUAGAAAGUGCCUUGACUCACAUAGCAGACAUGCUGGCGAGGAUCGCUACCACUGAACGAGGUUUAUCACUCCUGCUUUAUGACAGAAAUCUCGUCUCAGCCGAGGGUGAAAAUAUUUCAGCUGCACAUGUGGUUGUGCAGUUUACCCAGAGGCUGUGGCAAAAGAGCUGCAUGUGUUCAGUGAGCUGGAGAUUCCUCCCGCCGUGA
rnacentral:lncRNA from 1 species